AUAGAGAGUCUGACCAAACACACAGACAAGCACAUGCUGCAAUUUAGUUUUUGAUCAAGCUCAAGUUAAUAUGUGCUGUUCAGUUACACCAUGCUCCUCGCACCUUCCUGUAACGGGCUCUGGCAUCUUUGAAACGGCGGCUCAAGCUGUUAACUCUGUCAAUGGUGAGCUGCCAGGACUGACCUGACACUGUGUCUGGAGAGAACAUCAUUCAUCUUCUCAAGGUAGGGAGAGCUGUACACCACUACCUCCUCCUCUGGCUGGAUCUCAAUGGACACACUGGACAGCACCCCUUGAAUAUAUCGUGUCCAGUUAAACCCCUGGAAAACAAAAAGUGAGCCUGACAGAGCCAUUACCUUUCACAACCGAUGUGUAGAGGACUACCAGCCCGGCCAAGGCACAGCUGACCAACAGUAGCAACACGGACAGACCGAUUUCUGCAACAGUCCAACGACGCUUUCCAGGUUUACUUGAUUUCUCCAUGAUAUCCAUUUGGCUUUCGGAUUUGCCCAUAUUCCUCCUGACUGCCGGCUCUGUGGGAAAGACACCGUUGGAGUGUGGGAUGGUCCAGGCAGAGAGCUACCAGAGUGUGUGUGUGUGUGUGGGCUGUGCAGUGAUCCAUCGUUAAACUGUGCCAGCUGACCUGCAGUGAGUGAGCCUCAACUGCUGAACACCUACAACAACUUCACUGACAGGAGUUGUGAAACUGUUGGUCUCGUUGCAUGAAAACAGUUUGUCGCUCUACAUGUUAUUCUUUUACUAAAGUAAUGCAAAACAUUUAAGCCUGGGUUUUAUUUCUAUAGCCUUCACAGUACUAGUUUUUGAGCCUGUUGAAUCCACAAAAUUUUACUUAAUAAAGGACGCGAUUAGCCAUUGGUUGGUCGAGACACAAAAAUUUUUAAAUUUUGAUGGUUCACCGGAUGAUUAAAGAGAUAAGAAAUGGAAUAUUAUUUACAUAAUACACAAUCAUUUUCCUUUUUGUGAAUGUACACAAAUUUAAGCCUUUGUCAUGUGAUACUUUUUGCUCUUCAGUUCCCUCAAAGUGUUCUAAAUUAAACAAUCUGCGAAAGGAAAAAACACAAAACACAAAACAACUCAUGUCCACACAAUUUUCAAAGCCUGUGAUGAGGGGUUGCCCGUAGAUAGUGUUAUUUUAACUGGCCACAAGGCAAAAACCAUGGACAUAGGGCACGUUUGUGUUUUGAGGGCUAGAAAUGAACAGCACUUCUGAUCUUUGAGCUAUAUUUACAUUAGUAUGGUAAAUUCUCAUUGAGCAUGUGUUUGGAGGACAAAAACUGUCUUUUCAUAACUGCAAGGAGACCUAUACCGUGGGCCAAUGUCAAUAUAUGCAAUUUACUGUCCAUUAUGUAAAAGGUAAUUUGGUAGAUUUCUUGGUAUAGUGUGUAUUUUAUCACAAUUGAGUUAUCAAAUGUGUUAAAUCACUCUCGUUUUAACAUGAUCAAGCAUUGCUGCAACACUAUGACAUGACAUUUUUCCAUUCUGCAUUUGAAACAAAUCUCACCUAUACUGAAUUCAGAAAACAUUCUCCUAGUUAUACUAAGGUUUAGUUUUCUCCAUAUGGCUGAGACCUAAUGCCACUGACACUUUGUUAAACUAAUUAGUUUACUAUAAUAACGGUGGUUUUCCAGGGCUUAGCACACCUGUGCUAAGUUUGAAUAACCUGACCAUGUUCCAUACAUUUUCUUUAGUGUAUGAGUUCAUUUAGGACAUUAUUUCUCACUUCAUCAUCAAGCUCCAUCUGUUGUUAAUAUAGUCUAGGAUAUUUAAUGUGACAUUUAUUCUGGAAACAAUUUGGGGAAAAAUAAAUAACCACUAAACUCACUUUCACUGACCCUACCCCUCACCACCACACACAGCCAUAAGCCUACUUCCACAGAGCUCAUUUCUAUGCACAAUGAUUAUGUAUGUGUGAACACAAUAUUGCAAAUGAGCAUUUGUGCAGGGGACAAAACUACAAUCACCCAUGGCUUUCAGCAGCAUUGCUUUGCGUCUAUUCACUCUGCAGCACCUGUUUCUCCAUAACCAGCCCCAUUGCCCUAUCAUUAGGCCUGACAGGGGACGGGCUGUAAAUCAGAGGUUCACACUGCUGUGCCCCAUUAGCCCUUCCUGAUGAAUACUCGUGGGCACAUAUCUGGCACUACAGUCAUGAAAAGCAGGCAGGGGCUUGUUAGAGCUUCACUAAAAUCCUCAGCAUCAGACUGCACAGAAACUAUCUGAGGCAAAAUCCUGUUACAGUGCAUUAAAGACAGGCCUCACUUUAUAGAACGCUAUGCAAUAAUGUGCAGUCGACUGUGUCAACAUGAGAUUUGUUGCCCGAUAUGAGGAGUUAUUUGCAUCUUUAAACAUCCUCAAGAUGGCUGUUCUGCAUUUGUUUAAGUUCUCUCAGGUGUGAUGGUCCCACAUUAAGCAGGAGCACAUGGUAACUUUCAUCAGUUUCAUUACUUUUUGGUUUUAGCACAUUAAACAAUGCACAAAUAACUGGACACAGAUUUGGUUUCAUAACAGUUUUAUUAACCAUUUUUGACAGUUAUCUACUUGGAACGCACACAGUUAACUUUGUCAGAUUUGCUAAUAUUUGGGGAUGGGACGUUUGAUACCAAGGCACCGAAGCCUGUAUAUCAAAUUGCCAUUUCCACUUGACUGAUGAUAUCCAAAGCUUCGUAUGUCACCAAAACACCAGAUUUGAUGGUUUGGCAGAUUCUAAACGUGCCCACCUUGAGUUAAUGAAUCCACUGGUUAUCACAAGUAUCGAUUGUAGCUUAGACAGUCUUGAUACGUUUGCGGUUAUGGCAGAUAAUUAGAACUUAAGGAAACAUUUUUAAACAUAACUUACACAUUGUGGCGGGUAGCAACAUGUAGGCUACAUUUUUUCUCAUCACUUUAGUGAGUAAGCAAAGAUCAAGAUGUUCUUAGGCUUUGUGUACAUAUCGUAUUGAAACUGAAAUGAACAAGGCUUUGUAUGCAUUGUUUCUCCGCACUGUUGGGUUCAUGACAAGAUGUCACUGUGCUGUGUCUGUCUUUAUGUUUUGAAACUUUUUUUUCCUGGCACAAUCUGGAAAAAGCCUCCAAAGAUUCACAUGCUUUGUCCAUCCAUCACUACUAAUAUUAGGUUCAUUAACUUUGUUAUUUUUUGUGAAAUUAAAUGUUUUUUGAGUUACCAGUUGCUGCGGGCUGUCGCUGGAGGUAUCUGCUGGCUGAUCAACAAAAGGAGCUCCAGCUCAAUCAGACCUGCUUAAAUGGUGCUGAUCGACAAUUAGUCUGCACCAUGUUUUUCUGCAUCAUGGGGAGGGGCAGUGUUUUCUAGUUUGAGUUUUGUUGUUAUUUCUUUAACAAUUGCACUUUUGAUAUUAUUGUUUCAUAAAUUGUCUUUAGUUAAUAUUAGGUAGUGUUAUCUUGACAUGUUUAUGGUUAUUGUGGCUUGUUUAAAUGUCAUGUCUUAGUCUAUACCCCCUAAGUGUCAGAAUGGCCUGAUCAGCCACUAUAUAUGUCUCAGUUUAGUCUGUUUAGUUCAUGAUGAGUUUAUGUAGCCUGACUAAGUUAUGUUUGGUUGACCGCUUUUAUUAUAUGCUUUGUAAAUUUGUUGUUAAAAUUUUUUUGGUAAAUGGAACUUUUUUUUUUAAACUUUA